CCCUUAGAUGUUCUGGGCUGCACGCGCGCUACACUGUUGCAUUCAGCGAGUUUUAACCAAGGCCGAAAGGUCAAGGUAAUCUUUGAAAGUGCAACGUGCUUGGGCUAGAUGAUUGCAAUUAUUAAUCUUCAACGAGGAAUGCCUAGUAGGCGCAAGUCAUCAGCUUGCGUCGAUUACGUCCCUGCCCUUUGUACACACCGCCCGUCGCUCCUACCGAUUGGGUGUGCUGGUGAAAUGUUCGGAUCGGCCGUUUGUCGCGGUUUCCGCGUCAUGUGGCUGAGAAGUUCAUUAAACCCUCCCACCUAGAGGAAGGAGAAGUCGUAACA
rnacentral:rRNA from 1 species